rnacentral:misc_RNA from 1 species
CGAGGAAUUCUAUAAUUCUCUUGACCCAGCUCAAAGCCGCAAUUUCAAUACAUCAAAAGAAUGCCUUAUUUCAUAACCACUUCGCUCUUGUAUACUAUUCACUCCAUUUUGUUAUUUAGCUGUCAGUCCCACCAAUCUUGACUUCCUUUCUGUGCCAUUGGAAACUUCUGUCCUGCCAAAAACCUCCCUUGCUUGUUUGGGCAUGCGUGAGUACGCCUUCAGCAUUCCCGGGCCUUGGUUUUUCAAUCCCAACUUCCUGAUCUGAUCCAUAACAUCGCCUGCUGCUGGAAAAAUAGUCUUGUCCUCAAGGCUGAAGAAGGAAGAUUGAUUGUGAAAAUCAACCAAGUUCAACUAGGUAGCUUCGUCCGCAGAACGACCUUUCCAACGAAUUAGUAGCAGAAUCUCGUAUUGUCCCCAUUUCCCAUGCCUUUCCGGGUUAGAAUUUCCUCGACUCCACCAUCUCUUCAUCGACAGCCAGCUCUUUAG